rnacentral:misc_RNA from 1 species
AAGUCGUAACAAGGUUUCCGUAGGUGAACCUGCGGAAGGAUCAUUCUUGUACUUGGCUUCCAAAGCCAAUCAAAACAACAACUGUGUGAACUGUACCUUUGACCGGUUGUCAAAGAUGGACGUGGCAGAAGGCGGAGGCCGUUUGGCUUUGCGCGCUGUCAUUGAGCUUUGACAACCACAAUUUGACGUACCAUUGACUUAUCGAACUUAAACCAAUCUCUAUACCAAAUACAACUUUUAGCAACGGAUCUCUAGGCUCUC